rnacentral:rRNA from 1 species
CAUCUAAAGCUAAAUAUUGGCGAGAGACCGAUAGCGAACAAGUACAGUGAUGGAAAGAUGAAAAGAACUUUGAAAAGAGAGUGAAAAAGUACGUGAAAUUGUUGAAAGGGAAGGGCUUGAGAUCAGACUUGGUAUUUUGCGAUCCUUUCCUUCUUGGUUGGGUUCCUCGCAGCUUACUGGGCCAGCAUCGGUUUGGAUGGUAGGAUAAUGACUAAGGAAUGUGGCUCUACUUCGGUGGAGUGUUAUAGCCUUGGUUGAUACUGCCUGUCUAGACCGAGGACUGCGUCUUUUGACUAGGAUGUUGGCAUAAUGAUCUUAAGCCACCCGUCUUGAAACACGGAC